CGGUAAUUCCAGCUCCAAUAGCGUAUACUAAAGUUGUUGCAGUUAAAAAGCUCGUAGUUGGAUUUCUGCGCGGGUGGGGCGUCCGCCGGCCUCAGGUCGGGUUGGGCAGCAACGCCCAUGCAUCCUGCUGCGAUCCGCGCUACCAUUCGUUUGGUGGCGUCGGGGACCAGCUCGAUUACUUUGAGAAAAUUUGAGUGUUCAAAGCAGGCAAUUGCCUUGAAAAUUCUAGCAUGGACUAAUGGUUAAGGACUUUGGUUCUAUUUCAUUGGCUUUCGGAACCGAAGUAAUGAUUGAUAGGGACAGUUGGGGGCGUCUGUAUUCUGAAGCGAGAGGUGAAAUUCUUAGACCUUCGGAAGACAAACAGCUGCGAAAGCGUUCGCCAAGGAUGUACCCUUUGAUCAAGAACGAAAGUUGGGGGAUCGAAGACGAUCAGAUACCGUCGUAGUCUCAACUAUAAACUAUACCAGCUAGGGAUCGGCCAACGUUGAUCUACAAAGACUUGGUCGGCACCUUAUGAGAAAUCAAUAGCAUUUGGGUUCCGGGGGGAGUAUGGUCGCAAGGCUGAAACUUAAAGGAAUUGACGGAAGGGCACCACCAGGCGUGGAGCCUGUGGCUUAAUUUGACUCAACACGGGGAAACUUACCAGGUCCAGACAUAGGAAGGAUUGACAGAUUGACAGCUCUUUCUUGAUUCUAUGGGUGGUGGUGCAUGGCCGUUCUUAGUUGGUGGAGUGAUUUGUCUGGUUAAUUCCGUUAACGAACGAGACCCCAGCCUGCUAAAUAGCGCGCGUGGCUCCUGGCCGCGGCGAGCUUCUUAGAGGGACUACGGUUCGCCAUAGACCGGGGAAGUUUGGGGCAAUAACAGGUCUGUGAUGCCCUUAGAUGUUCUGGGCCGCACACGGGCUACACUGACGCGUGCAACGAGCAUAUCAGCUGGCCCGAGAGGGCAUGGGCUAAUCUUUUGAACUCGCGUCGUGCUAGGGAUUGACCAUUGCAAUUGUUGGUCAUGCAACGAGGAAUGCCUUGUAAACGCGAGUCAUCAACUCGCAUUGAAUACGUCCCUGCCCUCUGUACACACCGCCC
rnacentral:rRNA from 1 species